UUAUUUCUUCUUCUUUUUUAAAAUUUGUACAUAUUGCCUGACCUGUUCUGAUUUUUUUAUUAAGAAACUGAGAAAUUCUACAUGUAAAUUGUUGUUAUAGAUUCUAUAGCGAUGAUUUUUACCAUCGUUAUACAUUUAUAACGAUACUUUUCAUGUGAAAAUAUCAAAAAUUAUUGUGAAAAUAUCAAUUUUCUUUUUA
rnacentral:lncRNA from 1 species